AGAGCUCAAAUUUGAAAUCUGGCGUCCUCAGGGCGUCCGAGUUGUAAUCUAUAGAGGCGUUUUCCGUGCCGGACCGUGUCCAAGUUCCUUGGAACAGGAUAUCAAAGAGGGUGACAAUCCCGUACUUGACACGACGACCGGUGCUCUGUGAUACGUCUUCUACGAGUCGAGUUGUUUGGGAAUGCAGCUCAAAAUGGGUGGUGAGUUCCAUCUAAAGCUAAAUAUUGGCGAGAGACCGAUAGCGAACAAGUACCGUGAGGGAAAGAUGAAAAGCACUUUGGAAAGAGAGUUAAACAGUACGUGAAAUUGUUGAAAGGGAAACGAUUGAAGUCAGUCGUGACCGAGAGGCUCAGCCGGUUCUGCCGGUGUAUUCCCCUCGGUCGGGUCAACAUCAGUUUUGUCCGGUGGAUAAGGGCGGUAGGAAGGUGGCACCCUCGGGUGUGUUAUAGCCUGCCGUCGCAUACAUCGGGUGAGACUGAGGAACGCAGCUCGCCUUUAUGGCCGGGGUUCGCCCACGUCCGAGCUUAGGAUGUUGACAUAAUGGCUUUAAACGACCCGUCUUGAA
rnacentral:rRNA from 1 species